UAGCCANGCANGUCUAGUAUAAAUAGUAUACAGUGAAACUGCGAAUGGCUCAUUAAAACAGUUAUAGUUUACUUGAUAAUUGAAUUCUACAUGGAUAACCGUGGUAAUUCUAGGGCUAAUACAUGCGGCAAAACCCAACUUUUCGGAAGGGUUGUAUUUAUUAGAUAACAAACCAAUAUUCCUUCGGGUCUAUUGUGAUGAUUCAUAGUAACUGAUCGGAGCGCGACUACGUUGCGCUAAAUCAUUCAAGUUUCUGCCCUAUCAGCUUUCGAUGGUAGUGUAUUGGACUACCAUGGCAGUCACGGGUAACGGGGAAUUAGGGUUCGAUUCCGGAGAGGGAGCCUGAGAAACGGCUACCACAUCUAAGGAAGGCAGCAGGCGCGUAAAUUACCCAAUCCUAAUUCAGGGAGGUAGUGACAAGAAAUAACAACCCGGGUCCUUACGGACUUUGGGAUUGCAAUGAGCACAAUUUAAAUCUCUUAGCAAGGAACAAUUGGAGGGCAAGUCUGGU
rnacentral:rRNA from 1 species